UACGGGGGAGCAAGCGUUGUUCGGAUUUACUGGGCGUAAAGGGCGCGUAGGCGGCCAGCACAAGUCAGUUGUGAAAUCUCCGGGCUUAACUCGGAAAGGUCAACUGAUACUGUGCGGCUAGAGUGCAGAAGGGGCAACUGGAAUUCUCGGUGUAGCGGAUGAAAUGCGUAGAUAUCGAGAGGAACACCUGCGGCGAAGGCGGGUUGCUGGGCUGACACUGACGCUGAUGCGCGAAAGCCAGGGGAGGCGAACGGG
rnacentral:rRNA from 1 species